rnacentral:lncRNA from 1 species
AGGCUGGCACCCCCACCCCCACCCCCACCCCUGAAGCCCUCCUUCACACCCCAAGCUGCCCCUAGGUGUGUUUGUGUAAUCAGACACUGAUGGUAGCCGCCUUGCCCUUUCUUCCCGGGAAAGCGGAGUCUGCGAUCACUGAAGUUGCUUGUUUUCUAGGUGCGUCUAGGCGAGCCGAGGAGAUGCAGCUCGGAAAGUAGCGGGGUUUCCUGCUCGACGUGGUCGGGAGCCGGGCGGAGCGGCGCAGGUGUGCGGACUGUGAUGGCCUGGAGAAGGGAGACGUUGGAAGUUGCAAGGUGCCUGUGCAUGCGAAGUCGUGCAUUUGUGCAAGGGAGCCCGAAUGCAGAUGGAGAUAGUCACGGAGGAGAAGCAAACCAAAAUUCCCCAUCUGGGGGAAAACAGGGACCAGCAAAACCACAGCCAGGAAGCAGCGCUAAAUCCCAACGAGUCACAGCAGUAAGUUUCGGCAAAUGGGAAAGAGAACGUGAGCUGUGCUGUUUGCACCGAAGACGCGUGUCAGACCUUGAGCAUCGCCUCCUGCAACUUGCAACUUCCCAGCUUCUCUCCCUGGGCCCCCCCCGCCCCCCAGCCCCCGCUCUGUUGAAGUUCAGUCCCCACCACCCACCUUAGUUUGCCGCAACAUGUCCUAAGCGAUCUAUUCGGAUCUCAUUAAACUGAUUUACUGGGCCCGCUGGCUCUGUUCGCCCUCCGCUUAUUCCCACUUUGUUUAAAAUUCGGGAAGUGCUGGGGGGAGGGGCGGGACAUUAAUCGCCGCACUUGUGCAGACCGAGUGCCAGCUGAUUUAUGGCAAAGGUUAUAAAGGAAAAGUAUUAAGUGUGCUUCAUUCCAUUUGGCAAAGACCAUCCUGCACAAUGUCCGCAGAAACCCCCAGAGUCCUGUUUUGCGGAAAGAAGGGGGGAAAAGCCCCACCAAAGAUGUGCUCUUCUUCUUUUGAGCAUUAAUUAAGACUGUAAAUCACAGGCCACAUGAAACAACUGUAUACGACAGAACGGGGACGGUCCGGGAUUUCUGCGGGGCUCGUGGGCUCAGUCCUGGAUACCUACACCGGAGCCCUAAUGGGAGGGCCGACUUCAAAGGGCACUUUUGGCUGCAAGAGAGAGGUCUGCUCCGGCGCUGCAGGGAGGGGGGGUUGUAAAGUGCAGGCUGCAGGGCAGCUAGUGGUGGGGGACCAGGGAGGGAGCCCAGGGCUCCGUUGCACCGCUUCCCCCCCCCCCAAGGGUACCCUAUUUGCAUUAAGUAGCAUGUCCCUCUCUCCUGAGACAGGGGCUCUAAUGUCAUCAUCUGGAGAAUAGCUCCCAAAUAGAAUCAUCCCUCUCUUUGGGGAGAGAGACAAGUAUUGCAUAUAUUCCCCCCACCUUUUUUUUUUUUUUUCUUUUUGGAACUGGUGUGAGAUGUCCUUUUGCUGCUCUGUUAGCCAUCCUCCAUCUCCUUCUGC